rnacentral:lncRNA from 1 species
CUCAUUUUCGUUCAUGUUCACGCGCAACAGCAACGACAGUCCAGGGAGGACGUAGGGAGAAUGUUAGAGAGGGAGUAGAGAGAAGAGGAGGCAGGGAA